AAGUCGUAACAAGGUUUCCGUAGGUGAACCUGCGGAAGGAUCAUUAUCUAUUUUAACGGUGUUGGUUGCGGCCUCCGGGGGUAUUCCCCCUGGGUGGUAGAGGUAAUACUCGCGCGCGCCACAUGCCUUAAUCCUUUUUUUACGAGCACCUUUCGUUCUCCUUCGGUGGGGCAACCUGCCGUUGGAACUUAUCAAAAACCUUUUUUUGCAUCUAGCAUUACCUGUUCUGAUACAAACAAUCGUUACAACUUUCAACAAUGGAUCUCUUGGCUCUG
rnacentral:misc_RNA from 1 species